AGCUACAGAUAUGAAUCGCGGGACUAAAUGAGACGACAAAUAGCCCUCUCAUUUGCUUCAAACGGUUUUUGGAUCGGCCUUACGGAUCCUGAACGGGAAGAAGUUGUUCAGACUGCUUUUUCCAUUAAAACUGACUGGGUGUCUCAUAAAGUCAGAUAAAGUCUCUGACACACACUGCAGUCUCAUCACUAUAGCAACAGAAUGCAGAGGAAGGCAGAGCAGCUGGUUUGGACUACAAAGACUCUGUAGUUCUAAACAUGGUGGAACACUUUAAUGCAGAGGGCUGAGCAGAAGGUCAGAACUACAACAUGGCGGAACACUCAAUUAUUACAGAGGAGGCCUCAGCUAGCAGUUAGAACUACCUCCUGUUUUUGGCAUUAUACAGGUGGAUUAACCAAACCACUGUUACACAUUGGAUUAGUGUGGUUAUGAAAAUUAAGUUUACUGAAAGUUUCAAAAUAAAACUCUGCAAUGUCUACUCACGACAGUGCACCGCCAUAGGCGGUGCAAAAAUAUUAAGCUUUUGUAUGUGUUUUUUUUCUCAGGAUAGUGAGUUCAUUAACAUUAGCAUUUCAUGGGUGUCUCAAAGAUAGAAAUCCUUCCCCAGCUUUCUGUCUCACACACACAGCAGUUGGCUGAGGGCCAAUCGCUAUAGCAAAGGUUUCCAGAGAAA